rnacentral:rRNA from 1 species
UGGAUUAGUGGCGAACGGGUGAGUAACACGUGGGCAAUCUGCCCUUCACUCUGGGACAAGCCCUGGAAACGGGGUCUAAUACCGGAUAACACUCCUGCCUGCAUGGGUGGGGGUUAAAAGCUCCGGCGGUGAAGGAUGAGCCCGCGGCCUAUCAGCUUGUUGGUGAGGUAGUGGCUCACCAAGGCGACGACGGGUAGCCGGCCUGAGAGGGCGACCGGCCACACUGGGACUGAGACACGGCCCAGACUCCUACGGGAGGCAGCAGUGGGGAAUAUUGCACAAUGGGCGAAAGCCUGAUGCAGCGACGCCGCGUGAGGGAUGACGGCCUUCGGGUUGUAAACCUCUUUCAGCAGGGAAGAAGCGAAAGUGACGGUACCUGCAGAAGAAGCGCCGGCUAACUACGUGCCAGCAGCCGCGGUAAUACGUAGGGCGCAAGCGUUGUCCGGAAUUAUUGGGCGUAAAGAGCUCGUAGGCGGCUUGUCACGUCGGUUGUGAAAGCCCGGGGCUUAACCCCGGGUCUGCAGUCGAUACGGGCAGGCUAGAGUGUGGUAGGGGAGAUCGGAAUUCCUGGUGUAGCGGUGAAAUGCGCAGAUAUCAGGAGGAACACCGGUGGCGAAGGCGGAUCUCUGGGCCAUUACUGACGCUGAGGAGCGAAAGCGUGGGGAGCGAACAGGAUUAGAUACCCUGGUAGUCCACGCCGUAAACGGUGGGAACUAGGUGUUGGCGACAUUCCACGUCGUCGGUGCCGCAGCUAACGCAUUAAGUUCCCCGCCUGGGGAGUACGGCCGCAAGGCUAAAA